GACGAACGCUGGCGGCGUGCUUAACACAUGCAAGUCGAACGGAGGAUUUAUUUCGGUAAAUCCUUAGUGGCGAACGGGUGAGUAACGCGUGGGCAAUCUGCCCUUCAGAUGGGGACAACAUCCCGAAAGGGGUGCUAAUACCGAAUACGAUCACGCUGCCGCAUGGCGGUGUGAUGAAAGAUGGCCUCUAUUUAUAAGCUAUCGCUGAAGGAUGAGCCUGCGUCUGAUUAGCUAGUUGGUGGGGUAACGGCCUACCAAGGCGAUGAUCAGUAGCCGGUCUGAGAGGAUGAACGACCACAUUGGGACUGAGACACGGCCCAAACUCCUACGGGAGGCAGCAGUGGGGAAUAUUCCGCAAUGGACGAAAGUCUGACGGAGCAACGCCGCGUGAGUGAUGAAGGUUUUCGGACUGUAAAGCUCUGUUGUUUAGGACGGAAGUGCCUGUUGCAAAUAGUUACAGGUAUUGACGGUACUGAACGAGGAAGCCACGGCUAACUACGUGCCAGCCGCCGCGGUAA
rnacentral:rRNA from 1 species